CUGAGUCUGUCUUUAUUCUUGGCACUGACAGGAGGGAUUUGCUGGCUGACCGAAAUGAACGGGAUUGAAUGUAGGGUGUCAGGAGCUCUUUCAGGUACUGUGGGCCUUGAAUGUUUAAGGCCUUGAAGGUUAAACAGGCCAAUUUUAAAAUAUGUUCGCAAUUUAAUUGGAAGCCAAUGCAGGUAAUGGGGAACAGGUGUUAUGUGGCAGUUAAAGUUUUUUUGGUGACUAUAGUGUCCCUUUAAGUGGUCUCUUUGUCCAGUGGCUUUCCUAUAUUCAUUCCUGCAAAAUCCAAGGGAUAUGUGGUAGUAGAGUCAUACUAUCACAUUUCAACACAACACCAAAUCUUUAGAUACCCUUUGCACUCCUAAAGCCACAAAAGAUUUAAAAGAAAUUCAAGCUAAUCAUAUGGCCACUUUUUUUGUGAUGUGAAUAAUAUCUAAUCACGGCAUAGACCUGCUACAAUCUUGAUACAAGAUUAUUGAAGAUUUCCACUGCACUAAACAGUGGUUUUAUGGAAAGCC